UGUCUCCACACAGCAGUGAGGUGAACCGAGCAAACCACAAACUCAGCUCCAGUUUCAGUUAUUACAUGUUCAGAAGAGUUCAGGUGCUGUGUACUGAUUAAAGAUGAGAUUCCUGCUGCAUGUUUUAUUAAAUCAGAAUUUAUUGAAGGACGCGAGAAUCUGACGACCGACAAACUGCUGCUAAGCUACUGAGGCUCGAUGAAAAAUGAGCUGCUGAGAGCUGCUGAGGAUGAGAGAGUCUCCGACAGAGAGACACAGGACUAUGCUGUGAAAGAGAAAUUACAAGGAGGCCUGGAUCUCAGAAACUUGAAUAGUCUACCAGAAGAUUAGUACAGAUGAUGGAGCUGGAGCUGAGAGGGUUAGGGACCCUGCUCAGGGUCCAAAAAGUGGCUGGAUUAAAUUAAAUUAUAUCUUACUGAUUCACCCCGUUUGCUAACGGUCCUGAUGAUACGGUUGAGGAGAUCCUGGCUCGGGUCAGCAGUGGUAAAUUAUGCCUGACUGGUGGAUACUGGAACUCCGUCUCAAACGAAGCCAAGGAUCUGGUGUCCAGGAUGCUCCAUGUGGAUCCUCAUAAGAGACUGACCUCCUCUCAGGUCCUUCAUCACCCCUGGAUCGUCCACAAAGACCAGCUCCCCAAAUACCAGCUCAACCGCCACGACGCACCGCAGCUCGUUAAGGAAGCGAUGGCAGCCACGUAUUUGGCGUUGAACAGUAAGGUCUCUACGGUGUUGGACCCCAUCGGUUGUUCCACGUUGGCACAGCGGCGCGGCUUAAAAAAACAGACCUCUACUGCCCUCUGACCUUUCACCUUUAUAACUCUCAGCCAAUCAGGAGCAGCGGACCAAAUGUUCUAAAGGGAGUGAAAGUGCUCGUCCAAUCAAAAACGACAAUCAGUGUAAAAUCAUUAAUAUACAGUGUGUGUGUGUGUGUGAGAGAG